rnacentral:rRNA from 1 species
AGAGUUUGAUCAUGGCUCAGGAUGAACGUUGGCGGUGUGCCUAAUACAUGCAAGUCGAACGGAGUUAAUAGCAAUAUUGACUUAGUGGCGAACGGGUGAGUAACGCGUUGGUGAUCUGCCUCGAAGUGUGGAAUAACGUUCCGAAAGGAACGCUAAUACCGCAUGUGCUCUCGAUUUUUAGAAAGUUGAGAGUAAAGGAUUUAUUCGCUUCGAGAGGAGCCUGCGUCCCAUCAGCAGGUUGGUAGGGUAACGGCCUACCAAGGCUAUGACGGGUAGGGGACCUGAGAGGGUGGCCCCCCACAAUGGAACUGAAACACGGUCCAUACACCUACGGGUGGCAGCAGUAGGGAAUAUUAGAAAUGGACGAAAGUCUGAUCUAGCAACACCGCGUGUGCGAAGAAGGCCUUCGGGUCGUAAAGCACUUUUUGGAAGGAAUAGGAAGGAAUGUACUUCCAGAAUAAGUCUCGGCUAACUACGUGCCAGCAGCCGCGGUAACACGUAGGAGGCGAACGUUAUCCGGAUUUACUGGGCGUAAAGCGCGUGUAGGUGGUACUGUAAGUAGGGCGUGAAAGCUCCCGGCUCAACUGGGAGAGGCCGUUCUAAACUACAGAACUAGAGGAUGGUAGAGGGAGGUGGAAUUCCAGGUGUAGCGGUGGAAUGCGCAGAUAUCUGGAGGAACACCGGUGGCGAAGGCGGCCUCCUGGACCAUUCCUGACACUCAGACGCGAAAGCUAGGGUAGCAAACGGGAUUAGAGACCCCGGUAGUCCUAGCCCUAAACGAUGUAGACUAGGCGUCGGAAGUUUAAUCACUUUCGGUGUCCAAGCUAACGCGAUAAGUCUACCGCCUGGGGACUACGGCCGCAAGGUUAAAACUCAAAGGAAUUGACGG